rnacentral:rRNA from 1 species
UAUGAACGCUAGCGGCAUGCCUUAAGCAUGCAAGUCGAACGGUAACAGGGUGCUUGCACCGCUGACGAGUGGCGAACGGGUGAGUAAUGCGUCGGAACGUGCCGAGUAGUGGGGGAUAACGCAGCGAAAGUUGUGCUAAUACCGCAUACGUACUGAGGUAGAAAGUGGGGGACCUUCGGGCCUCACGCUAUUCGAGCGGCCGACGUCUGAUUAGCUAGUAGGUGAGGUAAAGGCUCACCUAGGCGACGAUCAGUAGCGGGUCUGAGAGGAUGAUCCGCCACACUGGGACUGAGACACGGCCCAGACUCCUACGGGAGGCAGCAGUGGGGAAUUUUGGACAAUGGGCGAAAGCCUGAUCCAGCCAUGCCGCGUGUCUGAAGAAGGCCUUCGGGUUGUAAAGGACUUUUGUCAGGGAGGAAAUCCCUAGUGCUAAUAACACUGGGGGAUGACAGUACCUGAAGAAUAAGCACCGGCUAACUACGUGCCAGCAGCCGCUGUAA